AGAACAAUGUAGGUAAGGGAAGUUGGCAAAUUAGAUCCGCAACUUCAGGAUAAGGAUUGGCUCUAAGGACUUGGCCGGUCGGACUGUAAUGUGAAGUGAAUACGGUUUAAUCCAUGCAGUGUAACAUUAAUAACAUUGAUGAAACUCGGCUAGUGUUCGAACUGUCUUAUGGAGUGUUAUAGCUGCGUAUCACAUUCAUUUUUUUAACGAAAAGUGAAUGUUUAUUGAUACUUCGGCCGGCGUUAAACAAUCAACUUAGAACUGGCACGGACUCGGGGAAUCCGACUAUCUAAUUAAAACAGAGACAGAUGGCCCUUGUGGGCGUUGCAUCAUUAUUUGAUAAGAGCUUGUGAUACAUUCACGCCUAUUGCAAUCU
rnacentral:ncRNA from 1 species